CGAUACUUGGUGUGAAUUGCAGAAUUCAGUGAAUCAUCGAAUCUUUGAACGCACCUUGCGCCCUUUGGUAUUCCGAGGGGCAUGCCUGUUUGAGUGUCAUUAAAUACCAUCAACCCUCUUUUGACUUCGGUCUCGAGAGUGGCUUGGAAGUGGAGGUCUGCUGGAGCCUAACGGAGCCAGCUCCUCUUAAAUGUAUUAGCGGAUUUCCCUUGCGGGAUCGCGUCUCCGAUGUGAUAAUUUCUACGUCGUUGACCAUCUCGGGGCUGACCUAGUCAGUUUCAAUAGGAGUCUGCUUCUAACCGUCUCUUGACUGAGACUAGCGACUUGUGCGCUAACUUUUGACUUGACCUCAAAUCAGGUAGGACUACCCGCUGAACUUAAGCAUAUCAAU
rnacentral:rRNA from 1 species